UACGAAGGGGGCGAGCGUUGUUCGGAUUUACUGGGCGUAAAGGGCGCGCAGGCGGCCAUUCAAGUCAGGCGCGAAAGCCCCGGGCUUAACCUGGGAGGUGCGUCUGGGACUGGGUGGCCAGAGAUCGGGAGAGGAGAGUGGAAUUCCCAGUGUAGAGGUGAAAUUCGUAGAUAUUGGGAAGAACACCGGUGGCGAAGGCGGCUCUCUGGACCGAUACUGACGCUGAGGCGCGAAAGCGUGGGGAGCAAACAGG
rnacentral:rRNA from 1 species